UUACCAAAAGCUCAAACAGGUGCUAAACUUAUUUCCAUCAGCUAUUCAGGGCAAUAAAGGAUAUUAAAUGAAACGUUAGUUUUUGUGACACAUCAUUUAUUACUAAUUUGAAACACGGCAGUUAUUCUACAUGUAAAUCAUCAAGCUAGCAUAAGCACCUUAUAUUGAUAUAUGCCAGGCGAUAGAGCUGGGUCGUGCCAGAAAUGGUUCUAAAAUGAUUUACAAGCAGACCUAUCUAAAUUUGUUAGUCCCUAAAUUAUCAUUUGCCAUCACAUAUGAUUCUACUAAAUUCUUUAACUUUAAAUUUGGAAAAUUGCUUCUAGGAUGGUAGGAAAGCGUACACCAACCUCAUAACAAAUGUUCCACCGGUUCAAGCCCGACGUAUCAUCCUCCGCUGUGCCGGAGCCGAUUUUGCAGCAGCAGGAAUCUGACCCGACACUGCAGAGCGCCACCGAAGGACUAAGGUCUCAGUUUGAAGGUGACGUCUCCUCCAUCCAGCAGAAGAGCGAAAACCUCACGGCGAACUGCUCCCCAGACACACUUGAAGUUUUAGGAAUAUGGACAGAUUUCCAUACUCUGAUAUGUGACUGAAUUCACAUUUGUAGUUACAUAAAAACUAAAAUCCCGUCAGCUGAAAGAAACAUUUCAAGAUUAAUAACUAGAAGCAUGUGCUCUGCUAAUCUAAGAGACAUUAUGUGAUCUAAGUUUCUCACCAGCUGGAAAUUCCUAGAGUGGACUCAUCUCACAGCUCUGAUACUCCCUCCCAACCACAUUGUUUUACCAGCAGACUGGAAACAAAGCGAAAUGGUCAAACAGAGAUUCAACAAGGAGUUACACCUGAGGACAUCUAUAUAUUAUCAUAUUCUACUUACUGUUUGUGGCAAAAUAACAACAGCAUGAGCUCCCUAGCUCAUGGAUGCAGCGGCUACUGCAUAACCAAGCCUCUGAUCAAUGCUACCAGAGCAUGAUGUAUUUCGCUUCACUGUUCUAUGUAUGAAAGAUGCCCAUCCAGGGCGAAAACCAACCAGGAAAUGAUCUCAAGCCUAACUAUCCCUGGGAUGACACAAUUAAAAUAACAGUAACUAAUGAAAUUUAUGGAAUAAUUUUAUAUGUAAGUAUAACAUAUAGAAACAAAUCAUAUUUAAUUAUUUAAACAUAUUUCAACCUAUUUUGUAUUUAUAAAUUACGAUUUGAUUUAAAUAUUUAAUUAAUAUUAUUCCAUAAUUUUAGGAUUUAUUUGAAGUAGCAACACUAUCCGAUUUAAUUAGUUUCUAAUUGGCCAAAUGGCUGUCAUUCGUUUUGUUGCUACAUCAAUGACUUUCUUGCCAUGAAACAAAACUAUAUUAUAUUCGAGACAAUCCUAAAAACGUUAAACUGAAUUACACAUGCAAAGUGCCGUGUCACAAUACCCCUCUCCCCGCUGUUGCGUUUUACCAAGGGUAAAACGCUCGCUGUCCUCAGCGACUAUCUAAUCUAAAAUAUGUGUCACAAAGAAAGGAAAAAAAACCAAACUACACUACCUCGACCAUACCUAUUAUGGGAGAACCAAAAAAAACACAACCAAAAUGAUUGCCGCAGGUCUCGAGAACUCUAUUCUUAAAAAAUAUAUAUUUAACCUCUCACAUGCACAACAAAACCGCAAAACCAAUAAAUUUUGAAACCACCAAUUCUCGAACCCACACAACCUAAAUACAAAAAAAAAAUAUGUGGUAUCCGAACACAUCAGAAAAAACCACAACCUAAUUCCUAACUAACCAGUAAACAUUCCUUGGCUUUACCAGCACAACAUUGCAUCGUCGCGCUGGAAAAACCAAACCAACUGCCAGGACUGAUGAUCAGCAUUCCAAACUUAUCUCUACUAGACCGGGCAAAAUAAAAAUUCCGAAAUAAUUCCUACUUCGAAGUUUACUUUAUAAACUUGAGAAGUUAAUUAAAAUUCCAAUCCAAAAUAUAAUUCGUAAUUCCGAAAUUUCCAUUCUAAUCCUAAAAUGUUGCAACCCUACAGGUUGAGGACACCAAUAACUGUCUCAACCCUUCAGGUUGACAACCCAAACAAAAACCCAAACCAACAAAAUACCAAUCCUCGAAAAAACCAACAACAAACGGUUGAAUUGGACACAUCUUGGCUGUGCCAACUCUUCCAUUAUACAAAGCUAACCAACCCAUACCAAACAUCUGGGCCCUUCGAGUUGGUGAGAGUAACCGAUCCCCCAACUCUCCGGAUCACAAAACAAACCAACCAAAACCUUACACAACUCUGAGGUUGCAACAUGCCCAAAAUCUCAACCGUUUGGUUGAGUACAGAAACAAUAUCGCACGCCAGGCAUGAUUGGCGGCGAUACCGCGUGUCGCAUCUUCGCCUACAAAAUAUUUCUCGUGGUAUCGGCAGCGCGAACACAAAAAAUCGUGUGCCUCACCAACGCCUCUAUGGCUUGGACUUAUGGGCAACACGUACAUAAAAAGGUACCCACCAGCGAGUACCAGUCGACGCUGAAAAGAGCAAGAACCCAUCGGAGUACACAAAAAGAACGCUCACGUCCCCCGGUAUGCAGUGCGCGCCCCGCCAUACCUCACAAAAUCUCCUGGGUGUGGACCCCUGUCGACCCAAAACACAAAACGCACCAACACGGCGCUCGGGUGUGGUAAGCACCCGAUAACUUCUCAAAAAACCUAUUGGCCGUAUUAAGGAUCGCUCAACACCUAAAAAAAUGAGCUAGAUUGUAACGCCCCUUUCAUACUUCACGCAUUUAUAGAACUGUUCCAAGAACCCUUUCAUUCAUCACACAAAACAAAAAAAUAGUAGUGAAAACAGACAUUGCUGCUCACCACGUUCCGUACAUACAGUCGUGAUUGAAUAUUUUUACCACAAUAUCCAACACUCCAAACGAAACAACCGUAGAACGAAACGUUAUGGCGUAAGCGAGGGCGUUUACUCUGGCGGCAAGGUGAAAGCUAAAAAAACCCGGACCUUGCGUCCAGAGAAAACUUCCACCUCCACUAAACCUACCAAAAACCUUGUGUCUACAUCCUUAAUACGCCACGAUCCAAACUCAAAGUCCAGAAUCCAAGACUACUUCAACCUAGCACCAUAUAAAAACUUCACUUUAACUUAAAACUUGGUGCUAAAAGAAAAACACUAUCGUAACGUUACAUCAUUACAUGGAAUGUUUUGAAACACCCCGUAAUGAUAAACCAAGUUAAUCAAUAACUUCAAAAAACGAGCGUUUAUUAAACGCUGACACGUUUCUUAAGUUUGGACCCUAAAAAUAUCAUGUUUCCGAACGCAUCCUUUGUUGAACUUAUCUAUUUACUCUAUGGUUUAAAAAAAUUAAAUGUCACAGAGAUAUUUUGCGAAUUUUAACCUUACCUACCAAAAAAAACUUUCGCCGCAUUUAUUACUAGAUUUAUCUAUACUUCAGCCAAUACUUUAACAACAAAUUGGAAAACUAGAUAUGAGUGUGAUCAACUUCGAACAAAUACAUACUUAGAACUUCAAUAUCUAGUUUGUCAAAAUGCGAACUUGGAAUGGAAUUAAAUCUACUAAUAAACACAGAAUCCUAUAUAACUGUGCUAAAUUUGAACAACAGACCACCAUAAAAGCAAUAGAUAUCCAGCUAUGCCUAUAACUGGACACCGGACUAUAGGAAUUUGUAACUUCAGAAAUCAAUGAAAAAAUAUGGGAACACAGGCACUGGCAGUGCGCAGAAGUAGUAUAUCUUCAACAAAUCAAAAUCGUUUCUAAUCAGGAACACAACAGAAGUCACUUGCCGGAGACUAUCAAAGGUUACUGCUGCGGUCGGACACAAACACUGCCACUUCACAGCCGUUCCUGCAAGCUUCCAACUACUGCCAGCGACGCCUCUGUGUGGAUCUACACCUCAUAAAUAAGUUCAACGGGCAUUAAACAUUAAAAGUGUACUGAAACCGCCAUUGUAUAAUAAGUUUAACUCAAAAUAUUUAAAUAUGAUGGCAAAAGACUUACAAAUUGAUGUGGCACUAUUGUAUCAUUUCUAUUUGUAAUAAACAAUGCUAUAUCUA